rnacentral:rRNA from 1 species
UCAGGACGAACGCUGGCGGCGUGCCUAACACAUGCAAGUCGAACGAAGCUUGAUUUCUGAUUUUUUCGGAAUGACGAAUGAUAUGACUGAGUGGCGGACGGGUGAGUAACGCGUGAGCAACCUGCCCUUCGGAACGGGAUAGUGUCUGGAAACGGACAGUAAUACCGUAUAACAUAUAUUGAUCGCAUGGUUGAUAUAUCAAAACUGAGGUGCCGAAGGAUGGGCUCGCGUCUGAUUAGAUAGUUGGUGGGGUAACGGCCUACCAAGUCGACGAUCAGUAGCUGGACUGAGAGGUUGAACGGCCACAUUGGGACUGAGACACGGCCCAGACUCCUACGGGAGGCAGCAGUGGGGAAUAUUGCACAAUGGGGGAAACCCUGAUGCAGCAACGCCGCGUGAAGGAAGACGGUUUUCGGAUUGUAAACUUCUGUUCUUAGUGAAGAAUAAUGACGGUAGCUAAGGAGCAAGCCACGGCUAACUACGUGCCAGCAGCCGCGGUAAUACGUAGGUGGCAAGCGUUGUCCGGAAUUACUGGGUGUAAAGGGAGCGUAGGCGGGAUGCCAAGUCAGCUGUGAAAACUAUGGGCUUAACUUGUAGACUGCAGUUGAAACUGGUAUUCUUGAGUGAAGUAGAGGUUGGCGGAAUUCCGAGUGUAGCGGUGAAAUGCGUAGAUAUUCGGAGGAACACCGGUGGCGAAGGCGGCCAACUGGGCUUUAACUGACGCUGAGGCUCGAAAGUGUGGGGAGCAAACAGGAUUAGAUACCCUGGUAGUCCACACUGUAAACGAUGAUAACUAGGUGUGGGGGGUCUGACCCCUUCCGUGCCGCAGCUAACGCAAUAAGUUAUCCACCUGGGGAGUACGACCGCAAGGUUGCAACUCAAAGGAAUUGACGG